UGUCUACCCUAAAUUUGUUCUCAUUCAUAUAAUAUGAUCUAAAAAUAUGUUAUUUGUGUUGUCUUACUCCAGGUGUAAAAUAAACAUCAUCUGCUGAAAUCCAGAACGCUUCGUUAAAUUCUUUGGGUUUUUCUCAGGAAGAUCAGGAACGGUUGGAGAAAUUUUGAUAAGGUCAGCGCCGAGAGGAGUGGAGGCCGGGGAGGCCCGGGGAGGCCCGAGCACCCGCCGCGCCCAGCAGCACGGACACCACCAGCCCAAGCCCGACGGCAGCAAAGCACCUGUUCUGCGCCGAGGAUGCGUCCUCUGCACUCAACAGUCGGAGACUCCAGUGCGCGUGGUAGGCGCGAGGCUCCUUGGCCUCCCUGCUUCUCCCUGCUGGAGUUGAUGGGGUGCCCGUGGCCCAGAAGGACAGGCGGCGACUAGUGCAGAGCUGGUUGCCAGGUCAAAUUCUGUACCAUUGGUUUUUUACAAUUUUUUUUUUAGAAUCAUGAAUUGAGAAUAGCAUUAAGAAUUGGGGAAGGUGGGGGGAAGAGGAAAACAAAAACCCCAAAAAGCAAUAACUUCAGCUUAUAGGGGAUUUUAAGGUGUUGGCAACUGACGUGCUCAGACCAGUACCCUUGGCUUUUUGACCCCGGCGCUGGAGGCAGCGACCGUCUCCCCGAUGGGAGG
rnacentral:lncRNA from 12 species